AAGACAGAAAAACCCCUUUAAAAGCUGUUUAUUACCUUAAAAAAACUCGAAAUAAAAAUUAUAUUUAAAUAAUCUCUACUACUAAAGUAAUCUAGUCGAAAGACACACACUAAUAAGGAGAAUAUAUGCCGAAGGGCAAAGUAAAAUGGUUCAACCAAACCAAGGGCUAUGGUUUCAUAGCACCUGAAGAUGGUGACAAAGAUGUGUUUGUUCACAUCACCGCAGUACGCAAUGCUGGAAUGAAUAAUCUUGAAGAAGAUCAAGAGGUUGAAUUUGAGAUUGUAGAAAAAAAUGGCAAAGCUUCAGCAGAAAAUCUGAAGUAGAGUUCCAGUUAAACUGGUU
rnacentral:sRNA from 1 species